UGGGGAAUUUUGCGCAAUGGGCGAAAGCCUGACGCAGCGACGCCGCGUGGGGGAAGAAGGCCUUAGGGUUGUAAACUCCUUUAGUAUGGAAAGAAGCCUGGAGCAAUCCAGGUGACGGUACCAUAAAAAUAAGCCACGGCUAACUCUGUGCCAGCAGCCGCGGUAAGACAGAGGUGGCAAGCGUUGUUCGGAUUUACUGGGCUUAAAGGGCGUGUAGGCGUCCCGGUAAGUCAGAUGUGGAAGCCUUGGGCUCAACCCAAGAAUUGCAUUUGAAACUGUCGGGAUUGAGUCGUUCAUGGGAGGGCGGAAUUCCUGGUGUAGCGGUGAAAUGCGUAGAUAUCAGGAGGAAGGCCGGUGGCGAAGGUGGCCCUCUGGGAAAUGACUGACGCUGAGGCGCGAAAGCGUGGGUAGCAAACAGGAUUAGAUACCCUGGUAGUCCACGCCCUAAACGGUGCGUACUAGGUGUGGGUGGCGAUAGUCAUCCGUGCCGAAGGGAAACCAUUAAGUACGCCGCCUGGGGAGUACGGUCGCAAGAUUA
rnacentral:rRNA from 1 species